rnacentral:rRNA from 1 species
UACGUAGGUGGCAAGCGUUGUCCGGAAUUAUUGGGCGUAAAGCGCGCGCAGGUGGUUCUUUUAAGUCUGAUGUGAAAGCCCACGGCUCAACCGUGGAGGGUCAUUGGAAACUGGGGAACUUGAGUGCAGAAGAGGAAAGUGGAAUUCCAAGUGUAGCGGUGAAAUGCGUAGAGAUCGGGAGGAACACCAGUGGCGAAGGCGGCCUUCUGGACCAGCACUGACACUCAAGCACGAAAGCGUGGGGAGCAAACAGG